rnacentral:lncRNA from 1 species
UUGUUUUGGGGUGUUACAGGUUCACACGUGAGCGGCGCGGCGGUGCGAGGCGAGGGCGUAGCUUCAUAGUUAGCGUCCUACCACCGAGACCAGAGAUAGCGGUACCCUGAGUCGGUUACUUAGGGAUGUAAAGAAUGAAAAGAAUUAAGUUGUAAUAAUCAUGUUAAAUCGAAUUGUAUUUGGAAGUUAAGUGAAAGCUAAUGUAAGAAUCAAAUGAGAAUUGUGAUGUAAAAAUGUAUGAAUGUGAAUGCAUGUAAUAACAUAGGAUGUGUUAUAUUAUUUG